UGAGGAAUAUUGGUCAAUGGGCGGAAGCCUGAACCAGCCAUGCCGCGUGCGGGAAGAAGGCCCUACGGGUUGUAAACCGCUUUUCCCCGGGAAGAAUAACCCCGACGCGUCGGGGGAUGCCGGUACCGGGGGAAUAAGGAUCGGCUAACUCCGUGCCAGCAGCCGCGGUAAUACGGAGGAUCCGAGCGUUAUCCGGAUUUACUGGGUUUAAAGGGUGCGUAGGCGGCCCUGCAAGUCAGCGGUGAAAUGUGGCGGCUCAACCGUUUCGCUGCCGGUGAUACUGUAGGGCUUGGAUGCGGUCGAGGCGGGUGGAAUUCGUGGUGUAGCGGUGAAAUGCAUAGAUAUCACGAGGAACGCCGAUAGCGAAGGCAGCUCGCCGGGCCGCGAUCGACGCUGAGGCACGAAAGCGUGGGGAUCAAACAG
rnacentral:rRNA from 1 species